rnacentral:snRNA from 1 species
CCAACUGCGCGCUAACCUA